GUGAGGAGGGUCAGUGCGCAGGCAGAAGGGACGGACCAGGAGGGGCCAAAUCCGAUUCCUCCUCUCCUAUCCCGAACCCGCCUUGCCCCGCUCUGACCCAGAGUAGGCUGGGAGCGGGGCUACUCUCUUCCAAGCCUCUCGUCUGGUCUCCCCACCUUCAACUUCGACUUGGCUGUAGCCACUCUUCCUCUACAGAGCAGGAAACGCCUGACAAACUCAACUGAGGGACAUCCUACUCCCUAACUGGUCUGUACUCUGCAAUCAUAUCAAUGUCACGAGAGACGAAGACAGACCAAGGAACUGCCAGAGAAAGGGAGACUAAAAGGACUGAACAAUUGAAUCCAAUGCCUGAUCCGGGAAUUUUGGGGGGUUACAAAAAACAUUAUGGGGACAAUUAGCAAAAUCUAAAUAAGGCAUAUUGAUUAUACAAUGGUAAUGUAACAACGUUAAUUUCCUGAUUUGAUCCUUGUACUGUGAUUGUGUAAGAGAAUGUCCUUGUUUUUAGAAAAACUGCUGAAGUAUUUAGGGGUCAAAGGGUAUCAUGGCUGCAUCUUAUUCUCAAACACUAUGUAUAUAUAUAUAUGAGAGAGAACAAAUGUGAUAAAACAAGGAGUCUGUGUGA